UACGUAGGCAGCAAGCGUUGUUCGGAAUUACUGGGCGUAAAGAGUGUGUAGGCGGUGUUCUAAGUCUGUUGUGAAAUCUCCCGGCUUAACUGGGAGGGUGCGGCGGAAACUGGAAUGCUAGAGGAUGGGAGAGGUAAGCGGAAUUCCUGGUGUAGCGGUGAAAUGCGUAGAUAUCAGGAGGAACACCUGUGGUGUAGACAGCUUACUGGACCAUUUCUGACGCUGAGACACGAAAGCGUGGGUAGCGAAUGGG
rnacentral:rRNA from 1 species